UUAUCCGUUCAUUUUGAUGCACGAGUGUAAUUCGGGGGAGUAUUUCCCGAAUAAACUGUUCACUUGUCAAAGUGACAUAGAUUUCAUUCAUUCAUUCUUUCUCGCUUAUUGGGCUUAACCUUUGGUUAUGUACCCAGUCACAAUUUUGUUGGAUUUCUCCUAAUUUUUCCACAUGUAUUACAUAUAAUUCACACUCGCAUUCAUCCUUAUGUCAACAUACAAUUUAUAUUAUUUCUCUCUCUUGAACAACCACUAAACAUCCAUGCCCUUGCCGGGAUUCGAACCCUGUACCUUAGCUAUGGAAGUCGGGAACCAUCCCACUACUGCCACCAAGGCGGCUAUUCCAUAGAUUUGAACUGUGUAAGAUUCAUUUUCAUAGAAACUAAACUAUGCAUCUAUGAACAGAACAAUUAUCGCAGUGCCAUUUUGCUUCCUACAAUGCAAUUAUCGCUGUAAUUUUCGAUAAUUGCAUUCCAUUUACAUAGAAUUUUUGACAGGAGGGAAAUAUUCUAUAAAACAAAAAAGUGAGGCAUGUGCUGAAACAUCUUAAAAUCUGUGGAGAAAAAUUAUCAAAUGAUGAAACUGCUGUAGCUCCCUUUCUGCCUAAACUAAAACAAGUAAUAGAAGCUCAUGAUCUCCAUCUCCGGCAAAAUUUAUAAUGCUGACAAGCCCUGCCUUUUUUGGAAGUUAUUGCCUCAUAAAACCUUAGUUCACACCAACGAAGCAACGGCACCCGGCAGAAAAUCAAGCAAAGAACGAAUCACGUUUCUAGCUUGUACAAACGGCGAUGGUACUGAUAAACUUCGACCUCUUAUCAUUAUGGGAAAGCAAAAAAUCCACAGGAAUUCAGGAACAAAACUCUACCUGUGGAGUAUGUCUCUAGUGGAAACGCAGGGAUGACUUCGGUCGCCAGUGUGUUAACUUCGUGCAUUUGUAAGGAUCUUGACAAGCCAAGUGACCUACCUCUUGCCAAUGCUGAUCUUCAGCUUAUUGUAUUAUAACAGCGACUUUUGCCUUUCAAUGUACAACACUGCAAAUAUUUGAAAAAUGCAAACAAUACUAAAUGUUUACUUUGGAGAAGUUUGGCUAUUGGGAGCACCAUCAAAAUCUUCAGUUGUUUUAGAAUUAAUGCAAAAUAAAAAGUAACUUUUUUUUUAACUUGAACACUUGUUGAACUUCUGUCUUGGAAGUGAAAUUAUACGUAUAGUACUAUCCAUUGUAGCUAUUACACCUCCUCUAGAACAUAAUGUAAAAAUCGGAUAAAGAAAUCUCACAUAUAUUUAUUUCCAAAGAGAAAUAAAUACAUGUAUCUAGAUU